CUGAACUUAAGCAUAUCAAAAGCCGGAGGAA
rnacentral:rRNA from 1 species